GUCCGCCAGCCGAUGACUUAC
rnacentral:siRNA from 1 species